rnacentral:rRNA from 1 species
CCAAUAGCGUAUAUUAAAGUUGUUGCAGUUAAAAAGCUCGUAGUUGAAUUUCGAGACCGGCUUACUGGUCGUGCUUUUGUGCGUACUGGUAUAAUCGGUUUCUCCUUUCUGACGAACUUUAAUGCCAUUAAUUUGGUGUUUUAGGGAAUCAGGACUGUUACUUUGAAAAAAUUAGAGUGUUUAAAGCAGGCUCACGCUUGAAUACAUUAGCAUGGAAUAA